GGUUUGAACCUGUGCUGAAGGCUUUCCCACACUUAUCACAUUCAUAAGGCUUUUCUCCUGUGUGACUUCUCA